rnacentral:rRNA from 2 species
AUGUUAGCCUGCUAACAGGCGUCGAGUGGCGGACGGGUGGAGUAACGCGUAGGAAUCUACCAAAUAGCGGGGGAGUAGCCCGGAGAAAUCCGGAUUAAUACCGCAUAAUCUCUACGGAGUAAAGGGGGCCGUCCUAUUUAUAAGCUUUCACUAUUUGAUGAGCCUGCGUAAGAUUAGCUUGUUGGUGAGGUAAAAGCUCACCAAGGCGACGAUCUUUAGCUGGUCUGAGAGGAUGAUCAGCCACACUGGGACUGAGACACGGCCCAGACUCC